rnacentral:rRNA from 1 species
CGGAACACGUACAGAACCUUCCUUUAAGCGGGGGAUAGCCCAUAGAAAUGUGGAUUAAUACCCCAUAGUAAUAUUGACUGGCAUCAGUUGGUAUUUAAAGAUUUAUCACUUAAAGAUGGCUGUGCGGCUGAUUAGGUAGUUGGCGCGGGUAACGGCCCACCAAGCCUGCGAUCAGUAACUGGUGUGAGAGCACGACCAGUCACACGGGCACUGAGACACGGGCCCG